GGGGCUGAUUCUGGAUUCGACGGGAUUUGCGAAACCCAAGGUGCAUGCCGAGGGGCGGUUGGCUUGGUAAAAAGCCGCAAAAAAAUAGUGGCAAAGGACGAAACUUACGCUUUAGCAGCUUAAUACCCUGCUUAGAGCCCUUUCUCCCUAGCUUCCGUUCUUAGGACGGGGAUCAAGAGAGGUCAAACCCAAAAGAGAUCGCGCGGAUGCCUGCCUGGGGUUGAAGCGUUAAAACGAAUCAGGCUAGUCUGGUAGUGGCGUGUCCGUCCGCAGGUGCCAGGCGAAUGUAAAGACUGACUAAGCAUGUAGUACCGAGGAUGUAGGAAUUUCGGACGCGGGUUCAACUCCCGCCAGCUCCACC
rnacentral:tmRNA from 1 species